UUGGUCACAGACACUCAUACAGGGAAAACACCAUGUGAAGAUAAAGGCACAGGUCUGGGUGAUUCCUCUACAAGCCAAGGAAUGCCAAAGAUUACCAGCAACGCCAGAAGCUAGUAGAAAGGCACGGAACAGACUCUCCCUCAAGCCCUCAGAAGGAACCAAUCCCGCCAACACCUUGAUUUCAGACUUCUAGCCUUCAGACUGUGAGGCUCAUCUGUAAAGCGGAGUAAUUCAUUCCCAACGAGCACCUGGUUGUACCCGUUUCCCGUUUCCUUCAUCUGUGCAUCACAGCUGCUGACAAGAAGUCAUCGGCCCCUGGCAAGGAGCAGGAGUAUCCUCCAUCUUACAGCUGAGAAACUGGAACAGGGACCCAGCUGAAGGAUCUGGCUCUUCACCACCAUCCGUCUGGGAGGAGAUCCCAGAUAACCCGGAAUCCAUUCACAACAGGCUGUAGGCUGACCAGAGAGUGGUCAGAGGACCACCGUCUUGUGGUGCCUUCAGCGCUCAAGGGACCACCGUCCGAAGUCCAAGACAUGGCCUUUGUGAUCUAUGCGCAAACCCCACCACCACCUUCUGGGACUCCACAUACAAAGGGACCAAAGACCUCCCCAGCCUUGUAUACACAGCUACCUCCAUUGUCUUCAUUUUACCAAGAUAAUACAAGCUCACUGUUUUGAACCAAAUAAUACAGAAUAAAAUCAAGAAAGAAGAAAGCAAACAUCCUUGGGAUCCCACCCUUCAGAAACAGAAUUCACAUCAGGGGAUUUGGCCCAAGGAGAGAGACACCCCUUCACUGGAUUAGUUACAUUUUUGAAAUGAAAGAGGAAAAAUAAAUUUUUUUGGGUAAUUUUUUAAGCUCAGUCUAGGAAGGUUGGCUCAGUGCUAUUUUAUAACCAAUUCCUUGAGCCCAGUUUUAGUCAUUUGUGUUUGUGGCUGGUGGACUUCUGCAGCAAGGAAUGCUUCAAUUCUCAAGUCAGUUUUGUUAAACAGAAAAACCAAAGGCCAGCUCAGCUGGUCACUCGGAUGCACUGAGAAUAGCUGAGUCCAUCUGAAACUUCCCUGGCAUCUGACCCAGACUGAGGGCAAGUGUUCAGCUGAGAAACAAAGACGGACAUUAAGUGCAGAAAAACCCUUUUGUGCCCACACAGCAUGCAAGUUAUGUUGAGUUAUGCAGCUAUUUUGGGGACAAUAAUGUUUUGUAAACAGUCGGCAAAUGACUUUGUAAGUUGCAGAGGUUUGGGGCCCUUUCACCAACAAGGAUUGUAUGGAAGAUAAGGAAACAUGGGCAAGGCUGUCCCUUUGAGAAAUACAAAUAAA